CGUAACCUACGGGGGGCAGCAGUAGGGAAUCUUCCACAAUGGGCGAAAGCCUGAUGGAGCAACGCCGCGUGGGUGAAGAAGGACUUCGGAUCGUAAAACCCUGUUGUUAGAGAAGAAAGUGCGUGAGAGUAACUGUUCACGUUUCGACGGUAUCUAACCAGAAAGCCACGGCUAACUACGUGCCAGCAGCCGCGGUAAUACGUAGGUGGCAAGCGUUAUCCGGAUUUAUUGGGCGUAAAGGGAACGCAGGCGGUCUUGUAAGUCUGAUGUGAAAGCCUACGGCUUAACCGCAGUAGUGCAUGGGA
rnacentral:rRNA from 1 species